UCAUUUUUGCCUAAGCCGCCCUUUCGGGUUUUCAACUUAGCGAGCUAUUCAGUUUUUAUUUUUUAGGAGAAGUAUUUCUUGACUGAAUCUGAAUUCACAGGACGAGUGAAAUCCUCCCCAUCCAUAGUUGUAAGUAUCAAAGCACUGCCUGAAAAGGCUCUCUUAACAACAUAAGAACCCUCAUAGUUCGGAGUCCACUUGCCCCUGGAAUCGGGCGCGAAAGACAGAACUUUCUUGAGCACAAGGUCACCUUCUCGGAAAAC
rnacentral:lncRNA from 1 species